ensembl:misc_RNA Metazoa_SRP Metazoan signal recognition particle RNA
GCCAGGCCUGGUGGUGCACACCUGUAGUCUCAGCUACUUGGGAGGCUGAGGUGGUAGGAUUGCUUGAGCCCAGGAGUUCUGGGCUGUAGUGUGCUAUGCUGGUUAGGUGUCUGUACUAAGUUUGGCAUCCAUAUGGUGAUCUCCUGGGAGUGGGAGACCACCAGGUUGCCUAAGAAGAAGUGAACCAUCCCAGGUCAGAAAUGGAGCAGGUCACAACUCCUGUGCUGAUUAGUAGUUGGAUUAUACCUGUGAAUAGCCACUGUACUCCAGCCUGGGCAACAUAGCAAGACCCUGUCUCUA